rnacentral:rRNA from 1 species
AUGAUGGCUGCUGACAAAUUUGAUGUCGUUUCGUGCAUCAAGCUUUGCGGUCAGCGGCUCAUAGGUCUGCCUAUGACCCUAGAAUCUGCAGUGAGGUGCCUAGAUCUCCCAUGUUCCAUUUCAAUGGCAGCUGACCUGUCAGAGGCAGCCAAGAAAUUCCUUGCUAAAAGAUACGAGAAAUUCCUGUCAACAAAGUUCCAAGAUGAACUGAUGAGGAUUCCCCUCGCUGGGAUUGUGGCCAUCUUAUCACGAAAUUUCCCUGGGGUUGCAUCUGAAAAAUCCGUCUAUGACUUUGUGCUCAGGUGGGCCGACUUGCAGUACCCAAAUUCAGAACAAAGACGCGAGAUUUUAAGUUCAAGUUUACUUCCAAUGGUGCCACUAGCGCGUAGCAUGACCAAUGUGAUCCUAAUUGAUCAGCCGUCUUGUAUAAUUAACUUUAGUCUAAAGCGUGAGCACUGCUCUGGGAGCUUCCCAUCAGGAUCGAUGCGCUCGCCACCAUUCUAUUGUGCGGGGCAUGGUUUCUUUCUCUCAGCACAUCGAAGAAUGGGGCCGUCCAACUUUUUUUUCCUCAUAAUACAGAAGCUAGAAGACAAGGGCCUAGUAGAGGGGACAUUAGAUUAUGAGAUUGAGGUAAAAAGAAACACCGUCGCUGGAGUUUACCACCUUGUGGAGGCGCACCACCACCACCGGUUGUAG